rnacentral:rRNA from 1 species
AAUUCCUUUCGCGCCUCAGUGUCAGUUACAGACCAGAAAGUCGCCUUCGCCACUGGUGUUCCUCCAUAUCUCUACGCAUUUCACCGCUACACAUGGAAUUCCACUUUCCUCUUCUGCACUCAAGUCUCCCAGUUUCCAAUGACCCUCCACGGUUGAGCCGUGGGCUUUCACAUCAGACUUAAGAAACCACCUGCGCGCGCUUUACGCCCAAUAAUUCCGGAUAACGCUUGCCACCUACGUAUUACCGCGGCUGCUGGCACGUAGUUAGCCGUGGCUUUCUGGUUAGGUACCGUCAAGGUGCCAGCUUAUUCAACUAGCACUUGUUCUUCCCUAACAACAGAGUUUUACGACCCGAAAGCCUUCAUCACUCACGCGGCGUUGCUCCGUCAGACUUUCGUCCAUUGCGGAAGAUUCCCCACUGCUGCCUCCA